GUGGUGGCUUCUUCAGGCAACUUCUUGAGGCACAAGGCCAGGGAGAAUUGAACUUUCUCUUGUGAUCGUAAGCUGCAAAAGACACCGCUGCAGGCAGAACACCGGGGCUGCCGCAGCAAUCCCUCCAAGUCCAGGCAAGGCCUUGAUGUGCUAAAUGCAAAGCUAAAGACUUUUCUUUUGUACUGACUUGCCUACUUCCUCUCAGCAGCAGCACUAAACACAACUUGCUGUCAGUGUAUACACAGCACCCUAUUUCUAACACCUCUGCCACCAUUCAGUAUGUGAAGUGUGUUCUGGCACACAUUUUAAAAUGGCUGUAUCAGCACUGUAUUAGCAUGUAGGCAGCUCAAGAUAAUAUUUGAAAAACCUGUGAGCAGACAAACCCUAAAAUUAGUAUGUCUUGUGUAGAUUUGGCCUGAAGAUGGGUAAAAACCUGAUCUGUACCAGUCAAACUGCAGUUCAGCUUUAGCCCCACAGCUCUAAAGGCAUGCUUGGUCUGGUACUCAGCAGCCACCUUUCCUGCACCUCUGAUCCACGGCUGAGAUGUGGGAAGUCAACGGUAGUGCCAUGGAAGCGGGAGGGUAUUAUUUUACAUAGCACGCAGAUUUAAUUUCAAGAUGUAUGCUGACAGCCUAUGCUACUCUCUCUGUCAUAAUAAAACAAGCAGCAAUAUGGAUACCAGAAAGAGGAGCACAGCUAGAGUUCUUUCUCCUCUUAAAUCAUUUUCCAAGGCAGUACAACACUCGCAACAUCUGCUUAGUAGGCAUGCAGGGAAUGGCAUGGCUACUGUCAAGACUGGGCCUCUCAAGAAUGCAAGCUGCUUCAUCAGAUCUGGAAUAAAUGCAAAUAAAUAA
rnacentral:lncRNA from 1 species